rnacentral:rRNA from 1 species
UUAAUGUCCAGGAGAGUGGCCCUCCGCAUGGAGGGUUGACUAGAGAUUUAUCGGUAUGGGAUGAGCUUGCGUCCGAUUAGCUAGUUGGCGGGGCAACGGCCCACCAAGGCGACGAUCGGUAGCCGGCCUGAGAGGGUGAUCGGCCACAUUGGGACUGAGAUACGGCCCAGACUCCUACGGGAGGCAGCAGUAGGGAAUAUUGCACAAUGGGGGAAACCCUGAUGCAGCAACGCCACGUGUGGGAAGAAGCAUUUCGGUGUGUAAACCACUGUCAUGAGGGAAUAAGGCCCGCCUCCGGGCGGGAUUGAAUGUACCUUGAGAGGAAGCACCGGCAAACUUCGUGCCAGCAGCCGCGGUAGUACGAGGGGUGCAAGCGUUGUUCGGAAUUACUGGGCGUAAAGGGAGCGUAGGCGGAGAUUCAAGCGGAUUGUACAAUCCCGGGGCCCAACCCCGGCUCUGCAGUCCGAACUAGAUCUCUUGGAUAGUUCAGGGGCAGGCGGAAUUCCUGGUGUAGCGGUGGAAUGCGUANAGAUCAGGAAGAACACCGAUGGCGAAGGCAGCCUGCUGGGGACUUAUCGACGCUGAGGCUCGAAAGUGCGGGUAGCAAACAGGAUUAGAUACCCUGNNANUCCGCACCGUAAACAAUGCAUACUGGGUGUCCGGGGGUUCCCCCGGGUACCGNAGCCNACGCGUUAAGUAUGCCGCCUGGGGAGUACGUACGCNAGUAUGAAACUCAAAGGAAUUGACGGGGGCCCGCACAAGCGG